AUCCUUUUGUAGUUCAUAAGUGUGAUGAUUGGGGUGUUGCCCUCAUGUGUGAGAUGUGAUGACUGUCUCAAACCUUGUGAUGAUGUCAGCACAUUACCUGUCUGAUG
ensembl:snoRNA